CGCCACAGCCUAGUCUGGUCUAGAUGACUUGAUUGAGAUGCUGCGGUGGGUUGUGCUCGAGUCGUGGCUUAAUGACAUUAUACACGCUCGGGAUAAUUCGCACCUAUCGUAUGCUACGUUAAUCACUUGAUCUUGUCUCUGGUUUGGUCUAUGGUUUGUACCGAUUGUGUGUGUAUUAUGCACGAAUUAUUUAAUUGAC
rnacentral:rRNA from 1 species